rnacentral:pre_miRNA from 1 species
GGAAGUGGUUGUUAUCUUUGGUUAUCUAGCUGUAUGAGUGUAUUGGUUUUCAUAAAGCUAGAUAACCGAAAGUAAAAACUCCUUC